ACUAAAUUUUUUACUUUUCUAACUUGUAGAGUGGGUAAAAAAAGAAUUAUUGAGUAAUAAAAUAACUGCACUAACUAAUGCAUUGGAAUCGAUACAGACUCUAACUUGAGUGGGUGAAUAAGAAUUAAUAAUUUAAUUAGACUAACCUAGUGGUAUAAAAACUAAUUAAUUAAUCUAGGGAAAUAUCAAAAAGUGGGUCGCAGAGAUGAUGAGGCUGAGAAAACAAUUAAUUAAUCUAGAAUAGAGGAAAAGGUGGAUUAAAUUAAUGAAUGCCUCGAUUCUCUACCCAUAAAGCACAUCUCCAUUUUCAAAACCCAAAAAAUUUUGUUAACACAACAGGAAAACCUCUUCGGCUUAAAUUUUGUUAACACAACAGGAUUAAAUUUUGUUUACUUUUCUAACUUGUAGAGUGGGUAAAAAAGAAUUAUUGAGUAAUAAAAUAACUGCACUAACUAAUGCAUUGGAAUCGAUACAGACUCUAACUUGAGUGGGUGAAUAAGAAUUAAUAAUUUAAUUAGACUAACCUAGUGGUAUAAAAACUAAUUAAUUAAUCUAGGGAAAUAUCAAAAAGUGGGUCGCAGAGAUGAUGAGGCUGAGAAAACAAUUAAUUAAUCUAGAAUAGAGGAAAAGGUGGAUUAAAUUAAUGAAUGCCUCGAUUCUCUACCCAUUAAAGCACAUCUCCAUUUUCAAAACCCAAAAAAUUUUGUUAACACAACAGGAAAACCUCUUCGGCUCGCCCCAGUCGCCCGUCGCCCCCACCGCCCCCGCCGCCCCAACUACGCCCCAACUGCGCCCCAUGAAUCUCGCUCGACUCACCCAUGUCGGGGCGAAGCCGGUCUCGACCUGAGCGCCCCACGCCCCGAGCGCGCUCGGGUUGCGUUUUAACAACACUGUUCUCCAGUUAAAUCUAGAAAUGGAUACUCUUAUUAUGUCUCUUAUUAUGUCUCAUUUGUUGACCAUUUUUCUAAAUUUACCUGGAUUUACUUACUCAAGAAUAAAAGUGAUCUCACUGCUGUUUUUAAGCAGUUCAAGGUUAUGAGUGAAAACCUGCUCGGAUCAAGAAUUAAGAUUCUUCAAUCAGAUUGGGGAGAUGAAUAUCAGGGAUUAGUUCCUUUUCUAAAAGAGAAUGGGAUAGUGCAUAGAGUCUCAUGUCCAUACACCCCACAACAAAAUGGUUUGGCUGAGGGAAAACACAGACACAUUGUAGAAACUGGCCUAGCUUUGUUAGCUCAAUCCUUCCUCCCUCAGAGGUUCUGGGAUGAUUCAUUUGUCACAGCCGUUUAUCUUAUCAAUCUUAUGCCAUCUAAAAUUAUCAACAACAUUUCUCCACAUGAGGCUCUCUUUCUCUCCAAACCUGAUUACUCAGCUUUCAGAAUCUUUGGUUGUCUGUGCUUUCCUCUUACUAGGCCUUAUAACAAUCAUAAACUCCAACUGGGAUAUAGUACCUCUCACAAACUACAAUUGUGAUUGUGCCAAGUAUGCCAGUUAAGGUGGAGGACCACCGUUGUACUUGGAGAGACGUGUUGCUCAAUGGAAUGAAGAAGAGAGAUUUUGCAAAGUUUGUUAAAGUAGACUAGUACAAUGUUCAGAGUUUGUUAAAGUAGAUUAGUACAAUGUCCUAUAGUGAAGAAUAUAUAUGUAUUGUAACUUGUUACAUUCGAUGCAAUGAAAAAUGCUGAUUUGAGAGCUCUCUCCAAACAUAACUCUAGCAUGUGUAUCUUUAUAGCUUCCGCAGUUUCUUUUCAAUUUGUAAAGGUGUUGAAGGGUUCUUCUUGCUAGACUUCAACUUAAGCUCAUUUUUUUAUAACAACCUCCUCUCACUCUCAAACUUACUAUUGAUGUUUUGGUAUGUUGUGGUAAAGGGAGUGAGGCCGGGGGGUACACCCCAUAUAUAAGGAUUUUGUAACUGAAAACCUGUAAGGCAGAUUUUUGUGCAGGAAUGAGAUCUCAAUUUGUUAUCCUACAGUAGAUGUCCUUCUUCUUAGUACCUUGCAGCACCUUUAACUGAUUUUAGUGGUGAUUCGCAGGUACACAAGGUGGGGCAGUGGCGGUUGGAGCUGGGGUGCAGGGUUGCUGCAGCUGUGCUGCAGUUUUCUCCCUUUUUCUGGCUCGUGGCAGCCUCUCGGCUGGUGGAGGAAAGGCUGUAGGAGCUGCCAUCUUGCCUUGCCUUGCCUUGUAUUCUUGGCAAGUAUUCUUGGUCUUCAUCAAAGGUGUGUGAGGACGGCUGCCAUUGUCGUUGCACUGUGGCUUUGUUGCUCUGGCCGGCGGUCCAUUUGACUCGGCUCAUAACACGUGUGAUUUUCCUUGGGUUCGAAGGACGUCGGGCUAAUAUCUCACAUUCCUAACUUGUAAUAGCAUAGUGCUUCUCCAAGCUUUCUUUUCUUUCAACAUGUACGAAAUAUUUAUAGAGUUAGCUGUAUUGUUUUCCCUUCAUUUUCAUUGUCA